GUGCCAGCAGCCGCGGUAAUACGUAGGUGGCAAGCGUUGUCCGGAAUUAUUGGGCGUAAAGCGCGCGCAGGCGGUCCUUUAAGUCUGAUGUGAAAGCCCACGGCUCAACCGUGGAGGGUCAUUGGAAACUGGGGGACUUGAGUGCAGAAGAGGAGAGCGGAAUUCCACGUGUAGCGGUGAAAUGCGUAGAGAUGUGGGAGGAACACCAGUGGCGAAGGCGGCUCUCUGGUCUGUAACUGACGCUGAGGCGNGAAAGCGUGGGGAGCAAACAGGAUUAGAUACCCUGGUAGUCC
rnacentral:rRNA from 1 species